UGGAAUCCUCAAAGAAGUAAUCAAGCUGACCAACCUUAGAGAUAAUAGUGUCAUUCUAUUUAAGUGCCGAUAAUUUGAUAUCGAUAAUUAUAUAAAGGUUGAUCUACGGUAUGGGCUUAUUGAAAUCAAACAUGGAUCAAAAGCAUAUGUCAAUGAUCCCCUUGUGCUAGCCCAACAAACUGUUCAAGUGUAUUAUACUCCAUUCCCAUCAAGGG
rnacentral:lncRNA from 1 species